UACGUAGGGACCAAGCGUUGUUCGGAUUUACUGGGCGUAAAGGGCGCGUAGGCGGCGCGGUAAGUCACUUGUGAAAUCUCUGAGCUUAACUCAGAACGGCCAAGUGAUACUGCAGUGCUAGAGUGUGGAAGGGGCAAUCGGAAUUCUUGGUGUAGCGGUGAAAUGCGUAGAUAUCAAGAGGAACACCUGAGGUGAAGACGGGGUUGCUGGGCCAACACGUGACGCUGAUGCGCGAAAGCCAGGGGAGCAAACGGG
rnacentral:rRNA from 1 species